CUCUUCCUCUGCGAUCAUCAUCCUCAUAACUCUCCAAUAAUUGAGACCUUUCUACCACCAUCAUCUACCGAUACAUAGGAUUUACUUAAUCGAUCUUACUCAUCCCAAUCCUCUUCACCACCGUUGUCUGCUUCGUACACAUUCCUCCACCCCCGUCACCAGAUCCUUGCUGAUUAUUAUGUUGUUCUACACAUGUCAUAUAGUUUCUCACCUCUGUUCUUAUCAUCUCUUGCAUCGGAAUUGACGUCAUCAUGCCUUGUUGUUGCUGCUUCCUCUCCGACGACUCGUUUUUACUCCGACAAAGCAUUUUUCCGGCAAUUAGAAGAAGGAAAAGAUCUGGAGAUGAUGGAUACAAACAGAGGUGUGAACUCGCCGGAGAUGAUGGAUACAAACUGAGUUGGUCUCCUUUGUGUGUUUAGUCAUACAGAAAGAAGGUCCCCAGAAUUUUUAGGUGUGCCGAAGUAGUUUGUCGGGUAUGUAGAUGAGGUGAGGGUGGAGGUGGGUGUUAAUAUGGUGGUUGCAGGGUGUUGAUAUAGUGUUUUACUAGGUUAUAACCCCGUGUAUUACACGGGUUAAGUAAAUAAAUUUAUAUAUUAAAUAAUAAAACAUUAUAUCUUUAAAAA